rnacentral:rRNA from 1 species
GAUGAACGCUGGCGGCGUGCCUAAUACAUGCAAGUCGAGCGAACAGACGAGGAUCUUGCUCCUCUGACGUUAGCGGCGGACGGGUGAGUAACACGUGGAUAACCUACCUAUAAGACUGGGAUAACUUCGGGAAACCGGAGCUAAUACCGGAUAAUAUAUUGAACCGCAUGGUUCAAUAGUGAAAUACGGUUUUGCUGUCACUUAUAGAUGGAUCCGCGCCGCAUUAGCUAGUUGGUAAGGUAACGGCUUACUAAGGCAACGAUGCGUAGCCGACCUGCGAGGGUGAUCGGCCACACGGGAGCUGAGACACGAACCAGACUCCUACGGGAGGCACCAGUAGCGAAUCUGCGGCAGUGGGCGGAAGCCUGACGGAGCAGCGCCGCGUGAGUGAUGAAGGUCUUCGGAGCGUAAGACUCUGUUAUUAGGGAAGAACAAAUGUGUAAGUAACUAUGCACGUCUUGACGGUACCUAGUCAGAAAGCCACGGCUAACUACGUG